GCCAGGGAAUGGCUUAGUGCUCGAAAGAGAACCGUAACACAGGGUGCUGCAUGGCUGUCGCCAGCUCGAUGUCGUGAGAUGUUGGGUUAAGUCCCGCAACGAGCGCAACCCUUGUCAUUAGUUGCUACAUUUAGUUGGGCACUCUAAUGAGACUGCCGGUGACAAACCGGAGGAAGGUGGGGAUGACGUCAAGUCCUCAUGGCCCUUAUAGGUAGGGCUACACACGUCAUACAAUGGAUGGUACAGAGGGUCGCCAACCCGCGAGGGGGAGCCAAUCCCAUAAAACCAUUCGUAGUCCGGAUCGCAGUCUGCAACUCGACUGCGUGAAGUCGGAAUCGCUAGUAAUCGCGGAUCAGAAUGUCGCGGUGAAUACGUUCCCGGGUCUUGUACACACCGCCCGUCACACCAUGGGAGCGGGUUCU
rnacentral:rRNA from 1 species